rnacentral:misc_RNA from 1 species
GAUGAAGAACGUAGCGAAAUGCGAUACGUAAUGUGAAUUGCAGAAUUCAGUGAAUCAUCGAAUCUUUGAACGCACAUUGCGCCCGCCAGUAUUCUGGCGGGCAUGCCUGUUCGAGCGUCAUUUCAACCCUCAAGACCCCUUCGGGGGACUUGGUGUUGGGGACCGGCAUAGGGGCCUUGCGCCCCUCGCCGCCCCCGAAAUGAAUUGGCGGCCUCGUCGCGGCCUCCCCUGCGUAGUAGCACAACCUCGCAACGGGAACGUGACGGCGGCCACUGCCGUAAAACAACCCAAUUUUAUUAGAGUUGACCUCGAAUCAGGUAGGAAUACCCGCUGAACUUAAGCAUAUCAAUAAGCGGAGGA